AGAGCGAACGCUGGCGGCAGGCCUAACACAUGCAAGUCGAGCGCCCGUAGCAAUACGGGAGCGGCAGACGGGAUAGUAACACGUGGGAACGCGCCCUUCGGUUCGGAAUAACUCAGGGAAACUUGAGCUAAUACCGGAUACGCCCUUACGGGGAAAGAUUUAUUGCCGAAGGAACGGCCCGCGUCCGAUUAGCUAGUUGGUGAGGUAAUGGCUCACCAAGGCGACGAUCGGUAGCUGGUCUGAGAGGAUGACCAGCAUCACUGGGACUGAGACACGGCCCAGACUCCUACGGGAGGCAGCAGUGGGGAAUAUGGACAAUGGGCGCAAGCCUGAUCCAGCCAUGCCGCGGGGAUGAUGAAGGCCUUAGGGUUGUAAAGUCCUUUUAACGGGAGAUAAUGACGGUACCGUAGAAUAAGCCCGGCUAACUUCGUGCCAGCAGCCGC
rnacentral:rRNA from 1 species